rnacentral:rRNA from 1 species
UCCUACGGGGGGCAGCAGUGGGGAAUAUUGGACAAUGGGGGGAACCCUGAUCCAGCGACGCCGCGUGAGUGAAGAAGUAUUUCGGUAUGUAAAGCUCUAUCAGCAGGGAAGAAAGAAAUGACGGUACCUGACUAAGAAGCCCCGGCUAACUACGUGCCAGCAGCCGCGGUAAUACGUAGGGGGCAAGCGUUAUCCGGAUUUACUGGGUGUAAAGGGAGCGUAGACGGAAAGGCAAGUCAGAAGUGAAAACCCAAGGCUCAACCAUGGGACUGCUUUUGAAACUGUCAAACU